AGUCUGCAACCCGACUACACGAAGCUGGAAUCGCUAGUAAUCGCGAAUCAGAAUGUCGCGGUGAAUACGUUCCCGGGUCUUGUACACACCGCCCGUCACACCAUGGGAGUCAGCAACGCCCGAAGUCAGUGACCUAACCGAAAGGAAGGAGCUGCCGAAGGCGGGGCAGGUAACUGGGGUGAAGUCGUAACAAGGUAAC
rnacentral:rRNA from 1 species